CACUGGACUCACUCAUUCUCCAUCUCCCUCACAGUUCAGUAGCAACCCCAGCUCCACCAGGCCACGCCUCCAUCGUAGCCACCCGCAGACACACACUCCUCCUUCCCUGCAGCAGCCGCGACCCCCAAGCAGCAGCAGCCGCGUUUUGUGGCUGUUCCCACGGCAGCAGCAGGCGUCUAGGCCUAGGACCACCACCGGGUCCGUUGGGCUGACCUGUGUCACCACACCACCAUACACUCUUUCCUCUUCCUUCAAUGGUGAUUGAGGAGACGAUAUCAUCAAAGAACCCUUCUAGUUGAUAGCUGGAUUCGUUACCUUGAAGCGACAUCGUUGUCUGAUUACAGAUCGGAACCGGUCGGGAACGAUGGGUUAGCGGUGUUGAAUAGCGUUCCAAGGAUGUAUAUUGAGCUGAGCAAGUAGGAAUUUGUAGAUUUGUAUUAGGAUUUUGGAUAAAUGUAUAUUUGUUUUGGCUGUGCUGGUUAUAUCGGACUUGUAGAGAAUUGUAUGAUUAUCUUGUGUAUUAGUUAGAUGUUGGUUUUGGGAUUUAGCUGAGUUAGUCACGUUGAAGAGCUUGUGACCCCUUUGCUUGAGUUUUGGAAGUGUGAUUUCAGUUUCUUAGAAAACGAACUUAGUGAUGACCCUAUUUACCUAGUCAACGGUAAGUCGGGUUGUUACAACCAAGCUAAGUUUGCUAAGUGGUAGCCACAAAAGUAGAGGUAGACUUGCAACUAUACAUACCGGUAUGUGGGUAUUAGUGGGAGCUUUUUGAUGGAGGAUAUGAGUCAGGGUGAGAUUGACCAAUAGUUUAGAGGGCAAAAUAUUAAGAAGGUAAGUGGUAGUUUCCAAGGCGUGAUGCCAAAGAGAAGGAGGAAGAGAAGUAUGGCACAAUUAAUAGAGUGAAUUUUGCAUUUGAAUUUGUUGUUUUGUGAGGAAGUGUCUAGAUAAGAGACAUGCAUGCUAAUGGGAAUUUUUGAAAUUCUUGAGUGAAAAAAAAAAAUUAAUUAAAUAAACAAACAUUUAAACUUUUUCUAAAAGUAAGCGUCCA